rnacentral:rRNA from 1 species
CUUAACACAUGCAAGUCGAGCGGUAAGGCCUUUCGGGGUACACGAGCGGCGAACGGGUGAGUAACACGUGGGUGAUCUGCCCUGCACUCUGGGAUAAGCUUGGGAAACUGGGUCUAAUACCGGAUAUGACCGCAUGCCGCAUGGUGUGUGGUGGAAAGAUUUAUCGGUGCAGGAUGGGCCCGCGGCCUAUCAGCUUGUUGGUGGGGUAAUGGCCUACCAAGGCGACGACGGGUAGCCGACCUGAGAGGGUGACCGGCCACACUGGGACUGAGACACGGCCCAGACUCCUACGGGAGGCAGCAGUGGGGAAUAUUGCACAAUGGGCGGAAGCCUGAUGCAGCGACGCCGCGUGAGGGAUGAAGGCCUUCGGGUUGUAAACCUCUUUCAGCAGGGACGAAGCGUGAGUGAC